AUUGAACGCUGGCGGCAUGCCUUACACAUGCAAGUCGAACGGCAACAGGUCUUCGGAUGCUGACGAGUGGCGAACGGGUGAGUAGUACAUCGGAACGUGCCUAGUAGUGGGGGAUAACUACUCGAAAGAGUGGCUAAUACCGCAUGAGAUCUACGGAUGAAAGCAGGGGAUCGCAAGACCUUGUGCUACUAGAGCGGCCGAUGGCAGAUUAGGUAGUUGGUGGGAUAAAAGCUUACCAAGCCGACGAUCUGUAGCUGGUCUGGGAGGACGAUCAGCCACACUGGGACUGAGACACGGCCAGACUCCUACGGGAGGAAGCAGUGGGGAAUUUUGGACAAUGGGCGAAAGCCUGAUCCAGCAAUGCCGCGUGCAGGAUGAAGGCCUUCGGGUUGUAAACUGCUUUUGUACGGAACGAAAAGCCCCGGGUUAAUACCCUGGGGUCAUGACGGUACCGUAAGAAUAAGCACCGGCUAACUACGUGCCAGCCGCCGCCGUAA
rnacentral:rRNA from 1 species